rnacentral:rRNA from 1 species
UGGGGAAUAUUGGACAAUGGGCGAAAGCCUGAUCCAGCGACGCCGCGUGGGUGAUGAAGGCCUUCGGGUUGUAAAGCCCUGUGGGCAGGGAAGAAAACGGCGGGUUCAAAUAGGGCCCGUCCUUGACGGUACCUGCUCAGAAAGCACCGGCUAACUCUGUGCCAGCAGCCGCGGUAAGACAGAGGGUGCAAACGUUGCUCGGAAUUACUGGGCGUAAAGCGCGUGUAGGCGGACUGGUGUGUCGGAUGUGAAAGCCCUGGGCUCAACCCAGGAACUGCAUUCGAAACUGCCAGUCUCGAGUGGUGGAGAGGGAAGUGGAAUUCCUGGUGUAGAGGUGAAAUUCGUAGAUAUCAGGAGGAACACCAGUGGCGAAGGCGGCUUCCUGGACACCAACUGACGCUGAGACGCGAAAGCGUGGGGAGCAAACAGGAUUAGAUACCCCCGUAGUCC